rnacentral:rRNA from 1 species
GGGUGGUAAAUUUCAUCUAAAGCUAAAUAUUGGUCGGAGACCGAUAGCGCACAAGUAGAGUGAUCGAAAGAUGAAAAGCACUUUGAAAAGAGAGUUAAACAGCAUGUGAAAUUGUUGAAAGGGAAGCGCUUGCGACCAGAGUCGGCCGCGGGGGUUCAGCGGGCAUUCGUUGCCCGUGCACUCCCCCGCGGGCGGGCCAGCGUCGGUUUUGACGGCCGGUCAAAGGCCCCCGGAAUGUGUCGCCUCUCGGGGCGUCUUAUAGCCGGGGGUGCAAUGCGGCCAGUCGGGACCGAGGAACGCGCUUCGGCACGGACGCUGGCUUAAUGGUCGUAAGCGACCCGUCUUGAAACACGGAC